AACGCGUAGUCAAUCUACCCUAUGGACGGGAAUAACCUCGGGAAACUGAGAAUAAUGCCCGAUAGAACAUUAUGCCUGGAAUGGUUUAUGUUUCAAAUGAUUUAUCGCCAUAGGAUGGGACUGCGGCCUAUCAGUUUGUUGGUGAGGUAAUGGCCCACCAAGACUAUUACAGGUACGGGCUCUGAGAGGAGUAGCCCGGAGAUGGGUACUGAGACACGGACCCAGGCCCUAUGGGGCGCAGCAGGCGAGAAAACUUUGCAAUGUGCGAAAGCACGACAAGGUUAAUCCGAGUGGUUUCUGCUAAAGAAACCUUUUGUCAGUCCUAGAAACACUGAUGAAUAAGGGGUGGGCAAGUUCUGGUGUCAGCCGCCGCGGUAAAACCAGCACCUCAAGUGGUCAGGAUGAUUAUUGGGCCUAAAGCAUCCGUAGCUCGUUUUGUAAGUUUUCGGUUAAAUCCAUGCGCUUAACGUAUGGGCUGCCGGGAAUACUGCAUAACUAGGAAGUGGGAGAGGUAGACGGUACUCGGUAGGAAGGGGUAAAAUCCUUUGAUCUAUUGAUGACCACCUGUGGCGAAGGCGGUCUACCAGAACACGUUCGACGGUGAGGGAUGAAAGCUGGGGGAGCAAACCGGAUUAGAUACCCGGGUAGUCCCAGCUGUAAACUAUGCAAACUCAGUGAUGCAU
rnacentral:rRNA from 1 species